ensembl:snoRNA
GCAGCCCCAGCCCUGCCGGCACCGUGGCUGCGGCCGCCCUGCUGCACCUGCGAUGUUGGGGCAGAGAGAGGUGAUUUCUACGCUCAGUGCUCAGAACAGCAGGUGCUAAGAGUGGACUGCGGGCAGAUUCAC